rnacentral:rRNA from 1 species
CAGGACGAACGCUGGCGGCGUGCCUAAUACAUGCAAGUCGAGCGGAUGAUGAGAGAAGCUUGCUUCUCUCUGAUUAGCGGCGGACGGGUGAGUAACACGUGGGUAACCUACCUUAUAGAUUGGGAUAACUCCGGGAAACCGGGGCUAAUACCGAAUAAUACUUUUAAACACAUGUUUGAAAGUUGAAAGACGGUUUCGGCUGUCACUAUAAGAUGGACCCGCGGCGCAUUAGCUAGUUGGUGAGGUAACGGCUCACCAAGGCAACGAUGCGUAGCCGACCUGAGAGGGUGAUCGGCCACACUGGGACUGAGACACGGCCCAGACUCCUACGGGAGGCAGCAGUAGGGAAUCUUCCACAAUGGACGAAAGUCUGAUGGAGCAACGCCGCGUGAGUGAAGAAGGAUUUCGGUUCGUAAAACUCUGUUGCAAGGGAAGAACAAGUAGCGUAGUAACUGGCGCUACCUUGACGGUACCUUGUUAGAAAGCCACGGCUAACUACGUGCCAGCCGCAGC